AAAAUAUACCAUAUUUUUAGUCCCUAAUAUUAGUCUUAUAAUCGUUUUCUAUUAGUUAUUUUAUGAAAUUAGUCACUUAAAUAUUUUUAGUUCUUAUUUUAUGUUAGUAUAGUAUUUUAUACCUAUUUUAUAAUAAGUGACAAUUAAUAUUAUAUUGUGUAUUUUUGGUAGGAAGUCAAAGGGAAAUAAUAAGGUGGACUUGAAUUGGAGAAUGCAAAAUAGCUUCAAGAAACCCACUUGUGUCACCACUAAAGAUCACGUGCAACCAAAUGAAAAGAAAGCAAGAAAAAGAAAAAAAAAAGAAAAAAAAAAGAUAAGAAGGAAGGAAGGAAGUGGCAUGAAAAACAAUGAACUAAUCCAAACCCACAAAUAUUCAAGAUUCAUCUUCAUCAAUACUGAUAAUUUCUAUCCGAAAUUCAAGGCAAUAUAAAGGAAGAUGAAUCUCUAUCUUUUUUCACAAAUUUAUCUCUUCAAUCCCAGAAAAUUUAGAUCGUUCUUGAUCUAUAAAAAUCCCCAAUUAUUUCUGUAAAAGACACAACUUAGCCAACAAUUAUACAAAGAACGAGAUCGUUCAAGUGAGUUCGUAAUUGGGCAAUUGGUGAAGAGAAGAUAGCCAUUGGAGUGCAGCUUAGUCUCGCAUCAAAGGUAGUACGAGAACGAAGGUGAAUCGCGGGGUCGAAGCCAAGUUUAUUCGGGUGUUCUUGGGAGUGCAUGUACGCGUACGAUAAAGAAGCAAGACUUCAGCGCAUAAGAGCGUACAUAGACUUGAUAAACGGAGCGAAACCAGAGGAGCUUCUUCAUAUUUUCAGUGCUGAACCAGCACUUGAAUUAGAAGAUCCAUUGCCGAUUAAAUAUAACAACAUGGCAGAACAGACAUUGAAAGAACUGGGAGCCCCUAAAACAGGAGAAGAUCCUCUCUGCAUUGUCUUUCCGGAGCUAGAGAAUCCCCUCAAACUGAACUCAGGUUUCCUUAAUCUUCUCCCUAAAUUCUAUGGGAACGCAGGUGAGAAUUAGAGACAUUUAAAAGAGUUUAGAGUUGUAUGUUCUUCUAUGAAUCCAGAAGGAAUAGAACAGGAACAUAUUAGAUUGCAUGCUUUUCCUUUUUUCUUUGCAAGAUCCUGCUAAAGAGUGGUUAUAUGAGCAACUUCCAUCUAGUUCCAUUAAUUCUUGGGCAGAAUUGGAAAAAGUUUUUCUUGAAAGAUUCUUUCCUGCGAGUCGUAUAGGUUCUAUUUGGAAGGAAAUUUGUGGAAUUAGACAGAGUAAUAAUGAGUCUUUAUAUGAGUACUAGCAACGUUUUAAUAGGCUUUGUUCAUCUUGUCCACAACACAAAAUAAGUGAUCAAUUAUUAAUUCAAUACUUUUAUGAGGGUUUGUUACCUAAUGAUAGAGGUAUGAUAGAUGCAUCUAGUGGGGGUGCAUUAGUUGAUAAAACACCUACCGAAGCUAGAAAAUUAAUCUCUAAUAUGGCUCAGAAUACACAGCAGUUUAGCACUAGAAAUGAUGUUAAAAGAGUAAAUGAAAUUGAUAUAAGUGGUAUUCAUAAUCAAUUGCAAGAAAAUUCUCAACAAAUUGCUACUACUUUGACUACUCUUGUUUCUAAAAUUGCUAGUAAUGAGUCUAAAUCCAGAGUUUGUGGUGUUUGUUCUGAUUUUCUCAUGCUACUGAUGAAUGUCCUACUUUACAGAAUGAAGAUGCUAAUGCCUUAGGGGGUUUUCCUAGUCAACAAAAUAGGAAUUAUGAUCCUUUCUCACAAACUUAUAAUGAAGGUUGGAAAGACCACCCUAAUCUAAGGUAUGGAAAUAGACCACAAUUUCAACAGAUUAAUCAAUUUAAGCAACAUAGUCAACAAAACCCAUCACAUAAACCUGCUAGCCCUUCAUUAGAAGACUUGGUGAAACAGUUUGCAAACCAAAUAGGACAGGUUCAUGAUCAAGGUGUUGAAUAUCAAAAGAAAACUGACAUUCACCUACAUCACAUAGACACUCAAAUAGGUAAAAUAAGCACUACUCUGAGUAAUUUGGAAUCUCAACUCUCGAAUAGACUUCCUUCUCAAACACUUGCCAAUCCAAAUGAACAUGCUAAAGCUGUAACACUUAGGAGUGGUAAAGAGUUAGCAGAACCUAAAAUGAAGAAUAGAGCAGUGGAGAAAGAAGUAGAAGUCAGACCUAAGGAUAUAGUUGGAGAGAGUAAGAAAAAACAUGAUAAGGAGAGCAAGAAAGAACCUGUAGGGAAGGGUAAUUCUGGUGUGAAUUUUGAUGUUUCUCGUUUUAAAGAUGUUCCCCCUUUCCCCUCUUGAUUUUCUAAGUCUGGGAAAGAAGCCAUGGAUAAUGAAAUUCUAGAGACUUUUAGGAAAGUUGAAGUUAAUAUUCCUCUUCUUGAUGCUAUUAAGCAGGUACCACGCUAUGCAAAGUUUCUUAAGGAACUUUGUACUAAUAAAAGACAAUUUCGCCCUUUUGAAAAGGUAAGUAUGGGGGAAAUAUUUCAGCUGUAAUUCAAAAGAAACUUCCCCCUAAAUGUAAGGAUCCUAACAUGUUUUCAAUUCCAUGUAAGAUUGGAAAUUCUAUUUUUGAAAGAUGCAUGUUAGACUUAGGUGCUUCAAUCAAUGUCAUGCCUAAAUCUGUAUAUGAUACCUUGAAUGUGGGUCUUUUGUCUAAGACUAAUGUUGUUAUCCAAAUAGCUUGUAGAUCUAAUGCAUUUCCCAUGGGAGUUUUAGAAGAUGUGCUUGUUCAAGUGAAUGAAUAAGUUUUUCCUGCUGAUUUUUAUGUGCUUGAUAUGGGUGAUAGGUCUGAUAGUGUUCCUUUGUUGUUGGGACGACCUUUUCUAAAGACUUCCAAGACUAAAAUUGAUGUUCAUGAAGGUAAUUUGACAAUGGAAUUUGAUGGAGAAUUGAUAAAAUUCAACAUAUUUGAUGCUAUGAAAUACCCUAAUGAUGUCAAUAAUGUUAGUUCUAUAGAUUCUUUUGAUGCAUGUGAUUGGAUGGCUCAGGAUGUCUUUGAUGAGUGGUGUGAAAAUUUGUUUGAAAAUGGUGUUUUUGGUGAUGUUGAAAAAAACAGAAUUAGUUGAUUCUUUUGUAGCAUCGUCUGAUGUGAUUGAAUCUGAUGUUUCUAAUGGAUGUGAAAAAUCUUUUCCCUCUGCCUAAAUUGAUUCCUUCUAUUGUUAAGCCACCUGAAUUAGAAUUGAAGCCCCUUCCCUCUAAUCUGAAGUAUGCUUAUAUUGGGUGAUAAUGAGACUCUACCUGUGAUUAUUUCAAGUUCUUUAAAUGAAUCUCAAGAGACUAGGUUAUUGAAUUUGCUUAAAAAUCAUAAGGAAGCCUUAGGAUGGACUUUAGCCGACAUAAAAGGCAUUAGCCCCGCUAUGUGCAUGCAUAAAAUUUUUCUUGAAAAGAUGCUAAACCAACUAGAGAGGCUCAACGUAGAUUAAAUCCUUCAAUGAUGGAAGUAGUUAAAAAAGGAAAUUCUAAAGUGGUUAGAUGCAGGAGUGAUUUACCCUAUUUCUGAUUCCCAAUGGGUAAGUCUAAUUCAUGUGGUACCUAAAAAGAGUGGAAUAACUGUUGUAGAAAAUAAUGAAGGAGAACUUAUCCCUACUCGAGUUUCUAAUGGAUGGAGAAGUUGUAUUGACUAUAGAAAGCUUAAUCAAGCUACUAGAAAAGAUCAUUUUCCCCUUCCAUUUAUUGAUCAGAUGUUAGAAAAACUUGCUGGACAAUCUUUUUUCUGUUUUCUUGAUGGUUAUUCUAAUUACACACAAGUACCCAUUGCUCCUGAAGAUCAAGAUAAAACCACUUUUACUUGUCCUUUUGGUACAUUUGCUUUUAGAAGAAUGCCUUUUGGUUUAUGCAAUGCUCUUGGAAUAUUUCAAAGAUGCAUGAUGAGUAUAUUUUCUAAUUUGAUUCAACAAGGUGAUUCAUUUGAUAGAUGUCUUCGUGAUUUAUCUCAAGUUUUGAAAAGAUGUGUUGAAACUAACCUUAUUUUGAAUUUUGAAAAAUGUCAUUUUAUGGUUGAACAAGGAGUAGUUCUUGGUCAUAUUGUUAGUGCAAAAGGUUUAGAGGUUGAUAAUGCGAAAAUUGAUGUCAUUAGUUCUUUGCCAUAUCCUACAUGUGUUCGUGAAGUUGGAUCAUUUUUAGGACAUGCUGGAUUUUAUAGACGCUUUAUUAAAAAUUUCUCUACGAUUGCUUCACCUUUAUGUGCUUUGCUUGCUAAAGAUGUUGUUUUUAACUUUAAUGAUGAAUGCAAAAAGGCUUUUGAUGAUUUAAAAGACAAAUUGACAAGUGCUCCUAUGAUUAGACCCCCGGAUUGGUCUUUACCUUUUGAAAUUAUGUGUGAUGCUAGUAAUAAGGCAGUAGGAGCAGUUUUAGGUUAAAAGAAGGAUAAAGAGUCUUUUGUGAUCCAUUAUGCUUAUAAAUCACUUGAUUAUGCCCAAUGCAAUUACAGAAAAAGAGAUGUAUGCUGUUGUUUUUGCUUUAGAGAAGUUUAGGCCCUACUUACUUGGCACUCGUGUGAUUGUUUAUUCUGAUCAUGCAACUCUUAAGUAUUUGUUAAAGAAGAGUCACUCAACACCUAAGUUGCUUAGGUGGAUGCUUCUAUUACAGGAAUUUAAUGUGGAAAUUAGAGAUAAGAAGGGCGUUGAAAAUCCAGUUGCCGACCAUCUAAGUAGAAUUGUACCCAGAGAGGAUUGGCCUUUAAUAACUGAGUUUUUUCCAGAUGAGCAGCUUCCAUCUUUAUAUACUGUUGACACUCCUUGGUAUGCUGAUAUUGUUAACUAUCUAGUGACUGGAACAUUUCCCCCUACACUCACUAAAGCUCAAAAGAAUAAGAUUAUAUCUGAUUCUAAAUAUUAUAAUGUGGGAUAAUCCAUAUUUAUGGAAAUCAUGUUCUGACCAAAUGAUUAGGAGAUGUGUUGACAAACCUGAAUAUGCCUCUAUUCUUACUUUUUGUCAUAAUUUUGAAGGUGGAGGACAUUUUGGUCCUUAGAGGACUGCUCAUAAGGUACUUGAAUGUGGUUUAUAUUGGCCUACUAUUUACAAAGAUGCAUAUUUGUUUUGUAAAUCUUGUGAACGUUGCCAAAAGACUGGAAAUUUGUCUAAAAGAAAUGAAAUGCCUCAAUCUGGUAUCCUUAUUUGCGAAAUAUUUGAUGUGUGGGGUAUAGAUUUUAUGGGCCCCUUUCCUUCUUCUUUUGGUAAAGUUUAUAUCAUUCUUGCUGUCGAUUAUGUAUCUAAAUGGGUAGAAGCCAAAGUUUUGAUAACUUAUGAUGCUAAAACAAUUGUUAAAUUUUUUAGGAGUCAUAUUUUUAAUAGAUUUGGCAUGCCUAAGGCCAUCAUAAGUGAUAGAGGGACUCAUUUUUGCAACAAAACCUUUGGUGCACUUUUGGAGAAAUUUCAUGUAACCCACAAAGUUGCUACUGCAUACCACCCACAAACUAGUGGGCAGGCUGAAGUUGUUUCUAACAGAGAAAUAAAAUCGAUUCUUGAGAAAAUGGUUAAUCCUAAUAGGAAAGAUUGGAGUCUUCGAUUAGGUGAUGCAUUAUGGGCAUAUAGAACUGCAUAUAAAACUCCUUUAGAGAUGUCUCCAUUUAGACUUGUUUUUGGUAAAGCAUGUCACUUGCCAGUGGAAAUUGAGCAUAAGUCUUUUUGGGCAGUAAAGUAAUGUAAUUUAGACUAUGACCUUGCUGGAAAUAAGAGGAAAUUACAGUUGCUUGAAUUGGAAGAAUUAAGGUUAGAGGCAUAUGAAAAUGCCAAAAUCUAUAAAGACAAAACCAAAGCCUUCCACGAUAAGAACAUAGCUAGGAAAUCGUUUCAGGUUGGACAAAAAGUUCUUCUUUUUAAUGCUCGUUUGAAAUUAUUUCCAGGAAAAUUGCAAACUAGAUGGCUUGGCCCUUUUGUUGUUACUAAUGUUUUUCAUCAUGGUGCAGUAGAAGUCAAAGAUUUUGAUACCAACAAAACUUUCAAGGUUAAUGGUCACAGGUUAAAACCAUUCUAUGACCAAGCUUAUGUGACCAUGAUUGAAGACAUGUUCUUCGAACAAGCAUGAAGAGAAGAACGUUGAGCCAACAACAUAAACUAAAGGCGCUACUUGGGAGGCAACCCAAGGCUAUCUUUGUUCUUUCCCUAGUUUAUUUUCUACUGUUUUUAGUUUUGAUAUUUUGUUUUACUUUUCAAUUCUGCCAUGUCAGUUUUAUUUUAUUUUAUUUUAUUUUUUUCUAGUUUGUGUCUAUGAGUCAUUAAAUUUAGAGCCAUUAAUAUUUCAGGAACAGAUUACUUAAGAGUCUCUGAGUUAUGCUAACGAUUCUGUCUCAUUUUCUCUUUGUGCAUUGCUGCAGCCAUUCAGUUAAGCUAAUAAGCGGACAGAUAGCAGCAUCAUCACAAACAUUCUGUAAGCUCAAAGUCUACUACUUACAUGACCAGCUAAGUUUCCCUUUCCUUUCUUAACUUUGUUUUCAUCGAGGACAAUGAAAAGUUUAAGUGCGAGGGGGGGGGGGAUUGAAUAUUUGAAAUUGGUUUGGUUUUUGUGGAGAGAAUGCUAUUUGAAUGGAUAUUUGGUUGUAAAUGCAUUGAUUAAAAUAGCUCAUUUUUUAGUAGACUGCUACUAAUUUAGAGGAGGUGUUGCCGAAUUUUAGAUUAAAAAGCUUGUUAUUUUAGAUUGCUAGUUUCGUAAAUAAAUGAAGGAACUUUGGGUUGAUCAGCAAAUAAAUAAAUAAAAAAAAAUCUUUUAUUUAUUGCAUGAUGUGGAUUACAGACAUGAAAGAUAGCUUAAACCCCUCUUUGGUAUGAUUAGUAAAAGUGUUUGUUUCUCACUAAUAAUUUUAUCAUGUCUCAAAGCCUAUCAUUAACAUCAUCCAAUAUUGAGCCAAUUUGAGCUUAAGUUUGUUUUCUUAUCAUAUAAAACUCACAAAUGUGCCCUGUCCAGAAAACGAUUGAAACACCUUUUGGGAUUAGUAGAGCAUAUUGUUAAAUUGUGAUAUAAAAUGGAAUGGUGGUUGUCAUUAUUUGGUGGUUUUCUAAUGAAAAGUUUCAAAUUUGAAGGCUCUGCGUACCAAUGUCUGGGUUUAGAAAGUGAUUCACAUAUAUGUACAUUAAAAAAAAAAGCCAGUUAUGUACGUGUGAUGUUUUUAUCUCGUGCUUAAGUAGUUCGAGUAAGUAGAUCCGUAGGGGUAUCUUAAAACCUAGUGCCUUGGGCCAAUUGGACCGGGAGUCACUGGUCGAACACUCGCUACAAGAACUAUUUGACAGAAAUAAAGCAUUAAGAGUCCUAAGACCAGAAAAAAAAAUGUCAAGUUCAAUGUUGGAGAUGUGUGAUAUAAAUGUACUAGUAAUGUGCUCUACUAAUUUCCACCUUACCACUACAAACCUAAACAUAUCUCCCACCUUUAUUUUACCUUGUUGAUUUUACAUUCCAUAAAAGUUCUGAUGUCCAUCUAAUCAAAUACAUAAAAAUAAAGGUGAGAAACGGAAAUGAUACGAUGUCGGACAUUAAGGGUGUUAAAAUCUUUAUAAAUGUCAAAUAUAUAGUCCAUGCAUGCUGGUGAGUGCUUAUAUGCCUAUGUUAGUUAUAUUUGCUGAUUGGUUCAAAGAUUUCAAAUGAAGAGACUUUGUGGGUAUGUCUUCAUGUUUAAAGGGCUUGUUGCACAUGCUAAGUGUAAUCAUGAUUCCUACGACAGUGAGUCAGGUUUAUUGCUUUUAUAGGUUAGUUCUAUUUAGUUUAUUCGAGGGCGAUCAAAGACAAAGUGUGGGGGAAUUUGAUAAGUGCAAAAUAUACCAUAUUUUUAGUCCCUAAUAUUAGUCUUAUUAUCGUUUUCUAUUAGUUGUUUUAUGAAAUUAGUCACUUUAAUAUUUUUAGUUCUUAUUUUAUGUUAGUAUAGUAUUUUAUACCUAUUUUAUAAUAAGUGACACUUAAUAUUAUGUUGUGUAUUUUUGGUAGAAAGUCAAAGGGAAAUAAUAAGGUGGACUUGAAUUGGAGAAUGCAAAAUAGCUUCAAGAAGCCCACUUGUGUCACCACUGAAGAUCACGUGCAACCAAAUUAAAAGAAAGCAAGAAAAAGAAAAAAAAAAGAAAAAAAAAAGAUAAGAAGGAAGGAAGGAAGUGGCGUGAAAAACAAUGAACUAAUCCAAACCCACAAAUAUUCAAGAUUCAUCUUCAUCAAUACUGAUAAUUUCUAUCCGAAAUUCAAGGCUAGAUAAAGAAAGAUGAAUCUCUAUCUUUGUUCACAAAUUUAUCUCUUCAAUCCCAGAAAAUUUAGGUCGUUCUUGAUCUAUAAAAAUCCCCAAUUAUUUCUGCAAAAGACACAACUUAUCCAACAAUUAUACAAAGAGCGAGAUCGUUCGAGUGAGUUCGUAAUUGGCAAUUGGUGAAGUGAAGAUAGCCAUUGGAGGGCAGCUUAGUCUCGCAUCCAAGGUAGUACGCAAAACAAAGGUGAAUCGCGGGGUCGAAGCCGAGUUUAUUCGGGUGUUCUUGGGAGUAUAUUUCAUAAGUCUUAUUCUUAACUUAAUUGUUCCAUGUUACUGAUUUAUUUGAUGUUCCUUGCUGGUUUGAUGAGAUACUUUUAUUGGUUUAUUGGUAUUAUAAUUGAAUCUUGAUAGUACUAUUUUUUCGAUUUAAUGGGUAUUUGAAAUUUGCU